GGGCGGUUAGUUCAGUGGAAGAAUGCUUCCUUGACACGGAAGAGGUCACUGGUUCAAUCCCAGUACCGCCCACCA
rnacentral:tRNA from 1 species